rnacentral:rRNA from 1 species
AACGAACGCUGGCGGCAGGCUUAACACAUGCAAGUCGAACGCCCCGCAAGGGGAGUGGCAGACGGGUGAGUAACGCGUGGGAACAUACCCUUUUCUACGGAAUAGCUCUGGGAAACUGGAAUUAAUACCGUAUACGCCCUACGGGGGAAAGAUUUAUCGGGGAAGGAUUGGCCCGCGUUGGAUUAGCUAGUUGGUGGGGUAAAGGCCUACCAAGGCGACGAUCCAUAGCUGGUCUGAGAGGAUGAUCAGCCACAUUGGGACUGAGACACGGCCCAAACUCCUACGGGAGGCAGCAGUGGGGAAUAUUAGACAAUGGGCGCAAGACUGAUCCAGCCAUGCCGCGUGAGUGAUGAAGGCCUUAGGGUUGUAAAGCUCUUUCACCGAUGAAGAUAAUGACGGUAGUCGGAGAAGAAGCCCCGGCUAACUUCGUG